rnacentral:rRNA from 1 species
AGAGUUUGAUCAUGGCUCAGAUUGAACGCUGGCGGCAUGCCUUACACAUGCAAGUCGAACGGCAGCACGGGAGCAAUCCUGGUGGCGAGUGGCGAACGGGUGAGUAACGCAUCGGAACGUGCCCAGUAGUGGGGGAUAGCCCGGCGAAAGCCGGAUUAAUACCGCAUACGACCUAAGGGUGAAAGCGGGGGAUCGCAAGACCUCGCGCUAUUGGAGCGGCCGAUGUCAGAUUAGGUAGUUGGUGGGGUAAAGGCCUACCAAGCCGACGAUCUGUAGCUGGUCUGAGAGGACGACCAGCCACACUGGGACUGAGACACGGCCCAGACUCCUACGGGAGGCAGCAGUGGGGAAUUUUGGACAAUGGGCGCAAGCCUGAUCCAGCCAUGCCGCGUGCAGGAAGAAGGCCUUCGGGUUGUAAACUGCUUUUGUCAGAGAAGAAAUCCUUUGGGUUAAUACCUCGGAGGGAUGACGGUACCUGAAGAAUAAGCACCGGCUAACUACGUGCCAGCAGCCGCGGUAAUACGUAGGGUGCGAGCGUUAAUCGGAAUUACUGGGCGUAAAGCGUGCGCAGGCGGUUAUGCAAGACAGAUGUGAAAUCCCCGGGCUCAACCUGGGAACUGCAUUUGUGACUGCAUGACUAGAGUACGGCAGAGGGAGAUGGAAUUCCGCGUGUAGCAGUGAAAUGCGUAGAUAUGCGGAGGAACACCGAUGGCGAAGGCAAUCUCCUGGGCCUGUACUGACGCUCAUGCACGAAAGCGUGGGGGAGCAAACAGGAUUAGAUACCCUGGUAGUCCACGCCCUAAACGAUGUCAACUGGUUGUUGGGACGGCUUGCUGUUCAGUAACGAAGCUAACGCGUGAAGUUGACCGCCUGGGGAGUACGGCCGCAAGGUUGAAACUCAAAUGAAUUGACGG